rnacentral:lncRNA from 1 species
CUUUAAUGGUCUGUACUGGUCUGUACUGGUCCUUUAAUGGUCUGUUCUGGUCUUUCUUUUCCAUGAUUUACUACUUAAUGACUUCGUCCACAAAAUAGUGCACUAUGUAGGGAAUAGGGUGCCAUUUGAGACUCGGCCAAUGUCUUCAGGACGUUGUCUUCAGGACGUUGUCUUCAGGACGUUGUCUUCAGGACGUUGUCUUCUUCAGGACGUUGUCUUCAGGACGUUGUCUUCAGGACGUUGUCUUCUUCAGGACGUUGUCUUCUUCAGGACGUUGUCUUCUUCAGGACGUUGUCUUCAGGACGUUGUCUUCUUCAGGACGUCGUCUUCAGGAUGUUGUCUUCUUCAGGAUGUUGUCUUCUUCAGGACGAUGUCUUCAGGACGUUGUCUUCAGGACGUUGUCUUCAGGACGUUGUCUUCUUCAGGACGUUGUCUUCAGGACGUUGUCUUCAGGAUGUUGUCUUCAGGACGUUGUCUUCAGGACGACGAUGUCUUCAGGACGAUGUCUUCAGGACGAUGUCUUCUUCAGGACGUUGUCUUCUUCAGGACGUUGUCUUCUUCAGGACGUUGUCUUCUUCAGGACGUUGUCUUCUUCAGGACGUUGUCUUCAGGAUGUUGUCUUCUUCAGGACGAUGUCUUCAGGACGUUGUCUUCAGGACGUCGUCUUCAGGAUGUUGUCUUCUUCAGGACGUUGUCUUCUUCAGGACGUUGUCAUCUUCAGGACGUUGUCUUCUUCAGGACGUUGUCUUCAGGACGAUGUCUUCAGGACGUUGUCUUUAUCUUGUUGUUACGUUCUGUUAAUGCAUUAUCUUGUCGGUACAGUCUGUUAAUGCAUUAUCUUGUCGGUACAGUCUGUUAAUGCAUUAUCUUGUCGGUACAGUCUGUUAAUGCAUUAUCUUGUCGGUACAGUCUGUUAAUGCAUUAUCUUGUCGGUACAGUCUGUUAAUGCAUUAUCUUGGCGGUACAGUCUGUUAAUGCAUUAUCUUGGCGGUACAGUCUGUUAAUGCAUUAUCUUGGCGGUACAGUCUGUUAAUGCAUUAUCUUGUUGCGUUCUGUUGAUGAUGUAUGUAACAAACACAUAAGGUUAAUCAAACCCAAAUUCCCUCCGUAGUGCACUGCCUUUGACCAUGGGGCCCUAACCCCUAGCCCAU